CUCUCUCUCUCUCUCUCUCUCUCUCUCAGGUGAGUAAUCUAUUCUUACCUGUUGUUGUUGCAGGUAAGGCCGUGGUUUGGUAAUGCUGCAGCCGAGGAGAUGAAGGCAGCAUUGUUUGUCAUAACCAUGGAGGUAUUAUAACAGGAGGCGCCCUCCCGCGCCGUCCCCAUACAGGCGAGUGAAGCCAGUGGGCGGAGCUUACUGCGUCUGUGGGCGGAGCUUACAAUCGGCAGAUAGACCCAAGACAUUGCGAUCUCCUGGGCUGAACUAAGGGAAUUUACGACUUGUUUUUGCAUACUAGACGAAAAAUAAAAUAAAAGAAUUGAUGCUU